rnacentral:rRNA from 1 species
UACGUAGGGUGCGAGCGUUAAUCGGAAUUACUGGGCGUAAAGCGUGCGCAGGCGGUUUUGUAAGCCAGAUGUGAAAUCCCCGGGCUCAACCUGGGAACUGCAUUGUGACUGCAUCGCUGGAGUGCGGCAGAGGGGAUGGAAUUCCGCGUGUAGCAGUGAAAUGCGUAGAUAUGCGGAGGAACACCGAUGGCGAAGGCAAUCCCCUGGGCCUGCACUGACGCUCAUGCACGAAAGCGUGGGGAGCAAACAGG